UACGAAGGGGGCUAGCGUUGUUCGGAAUUACCGGGCGUAAAGAGCGCGCAGGCGGUCGUUCAAGUCGCGUGUGAAAGCCCCCGGCUCAACUGGGGAGGGUCAUUCGAUACUGAUCGACUCGAAGGCAGGAGAGGGAAGCGGAAUUCCCGGUGUAGUGGUGAAAUGCGUAGAUAUCGGGAGGAACACCAGUGGCGAAGGCGGCUUCCUGGCCUGUUCUUGACGCUGAGGCGCGAAAGCUAGGGGAGCAAACGGG
rnacentral:rRNA from 1 species